GUUUCCAAAGGGGCAGAAUUCGCGUCUGGGGCUGGCGGUUCCCAACAGGCAGGUUGAAGAGCCAUCAUGGACCAAACCAGGGCUGUGUAUUUUACAUCUCAGUUUCCAGUUGACAUAUGGAGAGCCUUAUUAUAAUAAGGAGCAGAAGAAAAGUGAUGGAAUAACACAGUGAGAACAAGAGAUUAAAGGGAGGACAAAUGCAAUGUGCAUUACACCAGGCAGUGCCAAUGGAGAAGAUAUAAGCAAUGUCAUGCUUCCAUUGCUUCUUAUGCCCUUUUGUCCCUGCAGUACAUCUAAGUGUACUAAGUAACUUCUUUUUUUUUUUAAUAACACCUCUGACAUGCCUAACACAUGUAAAAAUAAAAAAAAUCCAACCGAAGUUUGGUACCUAAUAUAUGUAAUAGUGUAUUAAAAUGGUGAGAUAAAAUAUUGUGAUUAAAAAAGACUGAUCUAUUUA